rnacentral:rRNA from 1 species
CCAUGCUGUAAACGUUGUCUACUAGCCGUUGGGGGACAUGAUUCCUUAGUGGCGCAGCUAACGCGAUAAGUAGACCGCCUGGGGAGUACGGUCGCAAGACUAAAACUCAAAUGAAUUGACGGGGGCCCGCACAAGCAGUGGAUUAUGUGGUUUAAUUCGAAGCAACGCGAAGAACCUUACCAGGUCUUGACAUCUCCUGAAUAGCUUAGAGAUAAGUGAAGCCCUUCGGGGCAGGAAGACAGGUGGUGCAUGGUUGU